CUUGGUCAUUUAGAGGAAGUAAAAGUCGUAACAAGGUUUCCGUAGGUGAACCUGCGGAGGGAUCAUUAGUGAAUUUUAGGGUGCUCUCUUUUUAACAAGAGAGGCCUGACCUCCACACUCCAACACUGUGCACCUAUUGGUAGGGAAAAACGAAGCUGGCUCUUUUUAUUAAGGGCUUCGCGGACGUUUCUCUGCUAACCCAUUUUCACUUUUAAACACGAGUUGAAGAAUGUAAAACAAACCAUAACAAAAAAAAAACUUUCAACAACGGAUCUCUUGGCUCUCGCAUCGAUGAAGAACGCAGCGAAAUGUGAUAAGUAAUGUGAAUUGCAGAAUUCAGUGAAUCAUCGAAUCUUUGAACGCACCUUGCGCUCUCUGGUAUUCCGGAGAGCAUGCCUGUUUGAGUGUCAUGAACUCUUCAACCCACCGGUUCCUUGUUUGAACCGAGUUUUGGUGUUUGGAUCUUGAGCCGUUUGCCAUUGACUUGGCUCGCUCGUAAUACAUUAGCAUCUCAAUUUCGUGAUCGGAUUGACUCAGCGUAAUAGACUAUUCGCUGAGGACACUUGUCUCUCUAACUCGUUAGAGCGGUGGUGGCCGAGACUGAAGAGCGAGAAGCUUCGAACCCUUCUAGUCAUUUUUUUAAGAUUAGACCUCAGAUCAGGCAGGAUUACCCGCUGAACUUAAGCAUAUCAAUAAGCGGAGGAAAAGAAACUAACAAGGAUUCCCCUAGUAACGGCGAGUGAAGCGGGAAGAGCUCAAAUUUGUAAUCUGGCACUUUCAGUGUCCGAGUUGUAAUCUCGAGAAGUGUUUUCCGCGCCGGACCGCAUACAAGUCUGUUGGAAUACAGCGUCAUAGUGGUGAGAACCCCGUAACUGAUGUGGAUGCCCGGUGCUCUGUGAUACACUUUCGAAGAGUCGAGUUGUUUGGGAAUGCAGCUCAAAUUGGGUGGUAAAUUCCAUCUAAAGCUAAAUAUUGGCGAGAGACCGAUAGCGAACAAGUACCGUGAGGGAAAGAUGAAAAGCACUUUGGAAAGAGAGUUAACAGUACGUGAAAUUGUUGGAAGGGAAACGCUUGAAGUCAGACUUGCUAUUUGGAGUUCAGCCGCAAGGUGUAUUCUUCAAUUCGCAGGCCAGCAUCAGUUUUUGGGGGUGGAAAAGGGUCUUGAGAAGGUAGCAGUUUCGGCUGUGUUAUAGCUCUUGGCUGGAUUCAUCCUUGGGGACUGAGGAACGCAGCGCGCUUUUUGCAAGGCUCUCGGGCUUUUCGCGCUUAGGAUGCUGGUGGAAUGGCUUUAAACGACCCGUCUUGAAACACGGACC
rnacentral:rRNA from 1 species